rfam:Oceanicola litoreus strain DSM 29440 genome assembly, contig: Ga0131108_11
CUGCCGCCACAACGGCUUCCUGGCGUGGCGGUCUAAAACUCAAUGGAGCA